GACGAACGCUGGCGGCGUGCUUAACACAUGCAAGUCGAGCGAUGAAAUCCCUUCGGGGAUGGAUUAGCGGCGGACGGGUGAGUAACACGUGGGCAACCUGCCUUAUAGAGAGGAAUAGCCAUCCGAAAGGAUGAUUAAUACCUCAUAAUAUUGUAGCUUCGCAUGGAGCAACAAUCAAAGGAGCAAUCCACUAUAAGAUGGGCCCGCGGCGCAUUAGCUAGUUGGUGAGGUAACGGCUCACCAAGGCGAGGAUGCGUAGCCGACCUGAGAGGGUGAUCAGCCACAUUGGGACUGAGACACGGCCCAGACUCCUACGGGAGGCAGCAGUGGGGAAUAUUGCACAAUGGGGGAAACCCUGAUGCAGCAACGCCGCGUGAGUGAUGACGGCCUUCGGGUUGUAAAGCUCUGUCUUCAGGGACGAUAAUGACGGUACCUGAGGAGGAAGCCACGGCUAACUACGUGCCAGCAGCCGCAGUAAAAC
rnacentral:rRNA from 1 species